rnacentral:rRNA from 1 species
GAUGAACGCUGGCGGCGUGCCUAAUACAUGCAAGUCGAGCGAAUGGAUUAAGAGCUUGCUCUUAUGAAGUUAGCGGCGGACGGGUGAGUAACACGUGGGUAACCUGCCCAUAAGACUGGGAUAACUCCGGGAAACCGGGGCUAAUACCGGAUAACAUUUUGAACCGCAUGGUUCGAAAUUGGAAGGCGGCUUCGGCUGUCACGUAUGGAUGGACCCGCGUCGCAUUAGCUAGUUGGUGAGGUAACGGCUCACCAAGGCAACGAUGCGUAGCCGACCUGAGAGGGUGAUCGGCCACACUGGGACUGAGACACGGCCCAGGCUCCUACGGGAGGCAGCAGUAGGGAAUCUUCCGCAAUGGACGAAAGUCUGACGGAGCAACGCCGCGUGAGUGAUGAAGGCUUUCGGGUCGUAAAAACUCUGUUGUUAGGGAAGAGCAAGUGCUAGUUGAAUAAGCUGGCACCUUGACGGUACCUAACCAGAAAGCCACGGCUAACUACGUGCCAGCAGCCGCAGUAA